rnacentral:lncRNA from 1 species
UUCUCCUACGUCUUCAAAUGGAACUAUGCCUUUCUCCUUUUCAUUUCUUAUCCUUGCUUUUUCUUUUUCCUUACUUUUUCCUUCCAUUCGGCCUUUCCUAAUUCAAAAUAUUCGAAGUUAAUCCCUAUUCAAUGGAUAAUGCGGAUAUUGAAUAUAAUUGAACUACAUCCACCAAAUAUGUACGAGAAGAACCUCUAGAGAUAUCCUACGUUAAAUCCAUACAACAUACGUAAGAAUGGAACAAGCUGACUCUUACGUAAUUGGAAUUUUGAGAAGGAAUCUGGAUUUUUCCUCCUUAGAUCUUUAUGAUUGUAUUUAUUAGUCCUUAAGAAAAAAAAUGUAUUAUGUAUUUUUCUUCAAUUUUUUUUUUUAAAUACUUUUCAAGUUAGACAAUCAUAAAGAACAGUUGACUGAAUAUCAUUGUAUUGUCUUACAAAAGUUGCAAUCCAAAAAUUGUACGAACUUCAUAUUAAUCUAUUGUUAAAUACGUUUUAUAGCUAAAGUAAUCUGCAUUACAUAGUGUUACCACAAACAAAACUGAAUCUCGACCUGAAUACAAACCAUCAUUUUAAAUACUAUGUUCCUUAGUUUUUUUUUUAAAUAACUAUCUACAACUCAAAAUAAUUACAAUCUAGAGAUCAUUCUCAUGCUUGUUUUUUGUAGUUACUCCAGAAAUCCAAAUAUAUAAAACAAUAUUUUAAAUGUGCAUAUUUUUAAUUUGUUUUUAAUUUUUGAAAAGAAUUGACGAGGACUAAGCGCAAAAGGCAGUUUCCUACCCACACCAAAAUGAAUAGAUGUGUUAUUAUUCAAUACAUAUAAACCCAUAAUAAUUCAUAUAAUUCAUGGACUUCACAUUCAAUUUGGUGAAGGAAAGAAAAUUGAAUUAAGUUUUUAAAAUGUAUUUUAAUUAUAUUUGUUUCUUGAUUGUUUUAUUAGAAAUACAAUAUUUUAGUCUA